rnacentral:rRNA from 1 species
UACGAAGGGGGCUAGCGUUGCUCGGAAUCACUGGGCGUAAAGGGUGCGUAGGCGGGUUUUUAAGUCAGAGGUGAAAUCCUGGAGCUCAACUCCAGAACUGCCUUUGAUACUGGAGAGCUUGAGUCCGGGAGAGGUGAGUGGAACUGCGAGUGUAGAGGUGAAAUUCGUAGAUAUUCGCAAGAACACCAGUGGCGAAGGCGGCUCACUGGCCCGGUACUGACGCUGAGGUGCGAAAGCGUGGGGAGCAAACAGG